UGUUAUCCUUGGCCUAAAUGAUUAACUGAGAAAUAUAGUACAUAUUCUGUGAUAUUUCUGGUACGACAUUUUCAUCCGAACCCCCAUUUUAUGUUAUUGCUUGAAUUGAAAACGGAUUUCAAAUCAUUUUGUAUAAUAGACAAUGGAAGUCCGAACUAGUGAAAUUCAAGUCACGGCAGUGCUACUCAGGCAGGACCUACUCCGGUUAUCAGAGAGACCUAAAAUUUUUUGCGGCAUGGCAGGAAUUACCCCAUAAUAUUGUACCAUAACAAAUUCGGGAGUGAAAUAAACUAAAAUAUGUAUUUCUUAAAAUUUCUGGAUUGACAGUACAUCGUAGCCUUCUUAGAAGAAACAAGAUACUGGAUAGAACUUUGUUUAAAUUUCUUGUAUGCAUGUACCAAUUAAGAGAGUCAUCGAUUGUAAUAUCAAGAAGUUUACAAUGUG